UACGGAGGGUGCAAGCGUUAAUCGGAUUUACUGGGCGUAAAGCGUGCGUAGGUGGUUUGUUAAGUCGGAUGUGAAAUCCCAGGGCUCAACCUUGGAAUUGCAUUCGAAACUGGCAGACUAGAGAUCGGUAGAGGUUAGUGGAAUUCCAGGUGUAGCGGUGAAAUGCGUAGAUAUCUGGAGGAACAUCGAUGGCGAAGGCAACUGACUGGGCCUGAUCUGACACUGAGGUACGAAAGCGUGGGGAGCAAACAGG
rnacentral:rRNA from 1 species